UAAUAUUGUGUGAUACUAUUAAAAACAAUAUUUACCUAACAGUUUUUUCUACCAACUAUUAAUGUUAGAUUACAAAUGUUUCAUAGAAGCACUCUUGCAGUAAACAACAACAACAAAACAGUUAAACAGUUCUCCUUUCAUAAACUAAAUAGGUCUUUAUUUUCAAGCUCAUAACAUAUAGAAGUCAGCAGUAGACCAAACACAACAAAUGCUGUAUGAAAUGAUUUUCAAAGAUGUGCAGUGGAAAUAAUUUGAAUUAUUUUCAUGGACAUUUCCUCAAUUCACCAUGCAUGAUAUUUUGAUCUAAUUCUGUCAUUUCCAAAACAUUUGUUUUCUAUUCUCUAGUGAAAAUACCACUGUCGCUGUGAUUUGGGGAGAGUAAAGGAUUUUGUUAUCAGUCUUAGAUAAGAAGCCUCUGAAGUGGAAUACAUACUGUAAUGCAAUUGACCCCAUGUCUCCACACUUUCAAGGUCUGAUGCUUGGCAGACAGGAGUGACUUCACGAGAAGAUAAACAGAGAAUACUUAACACGCUGGUGUGUGCUUGUGUUAGACGUUGUCAAUGCAGCAAAUGCAAUGGCAGAUUACACUCCAACACCGUAACCUUGCUCUCGUAUUCUUACAAAAACAUCUCCAUGUGAAUUGGAGGUGGCUGUUGAAGUUAUUUACAGGAUUUCACAACACUCUCUUCAGUGCCUCUGUGUCAAAAUGAUGAAAGCAGUGAGGUAAACAAGAUAAAUGCUGAAAACAACUUAGAAUUCUCAAGUUACACAACUACUGACUUUGAAAAGUUACUUACUCAAUUUAUAUUAAAAAGCUGCACGUUUAUAGCUUUGUAUUGUCAAGCUGCAUGAAAUCAAGCAGUUGUUAUCUAUCUUCUAACAGAACUACUCGAAUAAUAAUGCAUAAACAUGCAAAGAACGUGCAAAACGAAAUACAUUCAAAGUCUAGUUGGUGGGUUUUAAGAAGAGCUGCAUAAACAGAUGUUUUAGGUCCAUCUGACCCCAAUUGGAUGUAUUCUUAGCAUUCAAAAACAAACAGCUAGAUAGGAUGCAGAGGAUUGGAACGGAACCUGUCAGUAUGCUAACGAAAGCACCAAAAACGCAUACAAGGGAAAAUCUAAAUAAACUACUCAAGCUCACUAACCAACUAGUUGGUUGUUGAAGCAGCAGCAGCAUAAAGCUGAUCACUGGUACGUACGGUGCACUUGUUUUCUGCUUUUUGCAGUAAUAGUAAACAUGUAUUCAGAGGUUCUCAUGGGGCCCUGACCCACUAUAAUGAGAGUGUGUUUAGUCUGAAGGCCAGGCCCUGUGUUGAUGGAUUGCACUGCCUGAGGGAGAGUUUUUUUUUCUUUCUUGACACCACAGGAAGGCUCGACAAGGUGCAGGGUGGACAUAGAUUUCUGUGUGUGUGUGUGCCCUUUUCAAACUAUCGAUUACUGGAGCCGAUUUCAUGUCAUAGCUACAGGCCUCAUGCAUAUGUGGUGGCAAAGGGCAAGAUGAAAGGCAUCAAUCAGACAAUGUUGCUUUAUUAUCUCUCUACAAAAAAACAUGCAAGUGCAGCCUUGAAACUCCAGCUGUUCCCGAAAACCACUGAAUUAGUAAGCUGUCACGGGUUUAUUCGCAAACUGCUCACAGCUACUUGAAAAUUGAAGUUCUCCUUUCCUCGGCAUGCCUCUUCAGAGCACUUCAUCCUGAGGGCAGACUAAUUUAAAGGCACCCCCAUGUCCAAAGAGCCGUGCUCCCAUCAACUGGCCCUAAUGAGCCUGAAACGAACCUGAUGAACCUGACUGAGCCACGGCUGUGAGGUGAUGGGUGGCUGACUGCAGCAAACCUACCCAAGCACAAAGUAUUCAUCUCACUGAGGGGUGCAGACCUCGAGUGCCAGGCUGAGGUGAAGAGGUCCACAGCUGCACCAAGUCUGAGAAGAGAGAAUGGCAGAGGCAAGAGGACCGUGGUUUGGAAAUUCCAAAUUUGGUUUGGAAUUGAUUAUGAUAAAUGAGUAUAAUAAAUCUCAAUGCAAGUUUUAGUACUUAGAGAGCGGUACAACAGCUAUGGCAUAAUAUGAAAAUUCUGUCAUCAUUUAUGGGGACUGAAGUGCUCAAACUUCCAAAAGGACACAUUUUUUUAAGCUUGAAUGCCUCAGUCCACAUUCAUUGUAAUUGCAUGCAAAUUAUUAAAUUAUCAAACAUUUCUUCUUUUGUGUGUAAAAGACAUUAGUUUGGAAUGACAUGAGUAAAUUAUGACAGAAUUUUCAUUUCCAUAUAC